rnacentral:sRNA from 1 species
GCUGGGUGUGGUGGUGCACUCCUGUAAUCCCAGUGGCUUUGGAAGCUGAGACAGGAGGAUCACUAGUUCAAAGCUAGCCUCAGCAAAAAGCAAGGUGCUGAGCAACUCAGUGAGACCCUAUCUCUA